rnacentral:rRNA from 1 species
UUUUUGCGGGCCUACACAUGCAAGUCGAGCGGUAACAGAGAGUAGCUUGCUACUUUGCUGACGAGCGGCGGACGGGUGAGUAAUGCUUGGGGAUCUGCCCGGUCGAGGGGGAUAACCGUUGGAAACGACGGCUAAUACCGCAUGCGCCCUACGGGGGAAAGCAGGGGACCUUCGGGCCUUGCGCGAUUGGAUGAACCCAAGUGAGAUUAGCUUGUUGGUGAGGUAACGGCUCACCAAGGCGACGAUCUCUAGCUGGUCUGAGAGGAUGACCAGUCACACUGGGACUGAGACACGGCCCAGACUCCUACGGGAGGCAGCAGUGGGGAAUAUUGCACAAUGGGGGAAACCCUGAUGCAGCCAUGCCGCGUGUGUGAAGAAGGCCUUCGGGUUGUAAAGCACUUUCAGUGGUGAGGAAAGGAGGUUGGCUAAUACCUGACCUCUGUGACGUUAACCACAGAAGAAGCACCGGCUAACUCCGUGCCAGCAGCCGCGGUAAU